rnacentral:rRNA from 1 species
UGGGGAAUAUUGCACAAUGGGCGCAAGCCUGAUGCAGCCAUGCCGCGUGUAUGAAGAAGGCCUUCGGGUUGUAAAGUACUUUCAGUCGGGAGGAAGGUGGUAAGGUUAAUAACCUUAUCAAUUGACGUACCGACAGAAGAAGCACCGGCUAACUCCGUGCCAGCAGCCGCGGUAAUACGGAGGGUGCAAGCGUUAAUCGGAAUUACUGGGCGUAAAGCGCACGCAGGCGGUUGAUUGAGUCAGAUGUGAAAUCCCCGGGCUCAACCUGGGAACUGCAUCUGAUACUGGCAAGCUUGAGUCUCGUAGAGGGGGGUAGAAUUCCAGGUGUAGCGGUGAAAUGCGUAGAGAUCUGGAGGAAUACCGGUGGCGAAGGCGGCCCCCUGGACGAAGACUGACGCUCAGGUGCGAAAGCGUGGGGAGCAAACAGG